CCUACGGGUGGCAGCAGUGGGGGAUAUUGCACAAUGGGGGGAACCCUGAUGCAGCGACGCCGCGUGAGCGAAGAAGUACCUCGGUAUGUAAAGCUCUAUCAGCAGGGAAGAAAAUGACGGUACCUGACUAAGAAGCCCCGGCUAAAUACGUGCCAGCAGCCGCGGUAAUACGUAUGGGGCAAGCGUUAUCCGGAUUUACUGGGUGUAAAGGGAGCGCAGGCGGGCUGACAAGGCUCGUGGGAAAACCCGGGGCCCAACCCCCGGCCUGCAUUGGAAACUGGCGGGCUGGAGUGUCGGAGGGGCAGGCGGAAUGCGUGGUGUAGCGGUGAAAUGCGUAGAUAUUAGGAGGAACGCCGAUGGCGAAGGCAGCCUGCUGGACGAUGACUGACGCUGAGGCUCGAAAGCGUGGGGAGCAAACAGGAUUAGAUACCCGUGUAGUC
rnacentral:rRNA from 1 species